CCCUCACCCGACAAAUCGCUAUCAAAGCUUCCAAACGGAGACAGGCAUCUUCUUAUUCUCCCCUCUGGGGUGGGUGUGAAGAGCCGCUCUGUCUCAUUAUUUUUUUCUUCUCAGUCGGCUUUGGGAGAAAGUCCCCGGACUUGGAUUUCUCUUUCUCGAGAGUCCGCUGCGGAAACGCGCCGUCAUAGAACGAUGGCUGACCUCUGUCUGCCCCUGUCUCUCAGUCUGGCCCGGCCCGGCUCUCUGCGCUCUGCGGUCCUCUCUCGCGGGGGGCUGUUGAACAUUGUCUAUCCCGUCCUCCGCAUAAAACACCCCAUUCGUGGCCGCCGCGCCCUGCAUCGUGCCUGACACGCCUUUAGAGACGAAGAUAUGAGUCUCGUGUCGCCCGGGCGGUGCAGGGCCUUGGUGCCGGGCGUGCACUUGUGCAGAGGGCGGUGGACGGUGGGCGUGGCGACGUAUCGGGGGUCUGGUGCUGGGGACGCUUAGGGGGCGCUGGAGGGUUGCUUUGUCGUGUUUUUAUAGGCAUGCGAUUGCACGGCGGGCUUGCCCUGCCGUGCUACUCAAUGGGGCUCAUUCUCGGGAUGAGG
rnacentral:RNase_MRP_RNA from 2 species